rnacentral:rRNA from 1 species
AUUGAACGCUGGCGGCAGGCCUAACACAUGCAAGUCGAACGAGUGGCGGACGGGUGAGUAAUGUCUGGGAAACUGCCCGUUGGAGGGGGAUAACUACUGGAAACGGUAGCUAAUACCGCAUACCAUCGGAUGUGCCCAGAUGGGAUUAGCUAGUAGGUGGGGUAACGGCUCACCUGGGCGACGACCCCUAGCUGGUCUGAGAGGAUGACCGGCCACACUGGAACGGAGACACGGUCCAGACUCCUACGGGAGGCGGAAGUGGGGAAUAUUGCACAAUGGGCGCAAGCCUGAUGAAGCAAUGCCGGGGGUAGGAAGAAGGCUUUGGGGUGGUAAAGUACUUUCAGCGGGGAGGCGUUACCCGCAGAAGAAGCACCGGCUAACUCCGUGCCAGCAGCCGCGGUAAUUC